GUGGGCUCAGCAGCAUAUAUACUCACAUGGGAAUGAUACAGAGAAGUUUAGCACGGCCCUCGCCAAGGAUGCCACGCAAAUUCGUCAAGUGUUUCAUAUUUUU